rnacentral:rRNA from 1 species
CCUACGGGAGGCAGCAGUGAGGAAUAUUGGUCAAUGGUCGGGAGACUGAACCAGCCAAGCCGCGUGAGGGAUGAAGGUACAGAGUAUCGUAAACCUCUUUUGUCAGGGAACAAAGGCGGGGACGUGUCCCCGGAUGAGUGUACCUGAAGAAAAAGCAUCGGCUAACUCCGUGCCAGCAGCCGCGGUAAUACGGGGGAGGCGAUCGUUCUCCGGAUUUAUUGGGUUGAAAGUGUGCGGAGGCGGUCUGUUAAGUCAGCGGUAAAAGCCCGGGGCUCAACCCCGGCCCGCCGUUGAAACUGGCAGUCUCGAGUUGGAGAGAAGUAUGCGGAAUGCGCGGUGUAGCGGUGAAAUGCAUAGAUAUCGCGCAGAACUCCGAUUGCGAAGGCAGCAUGCCGGCUCCACACUGACGCUGAGGCACGAAAGCGUGGGUAUCGAACAGGAUUAGAUACCCCUGUAGUC